GGAGUGUGUAGAUCAGUGGUAGAGUGCAUGCUUUGUAUGCAUGAUAUUCUGAGUUCAAUCCCCAGAUUCUCUC